rnacentral:rRNA from 1 species
GAUGAACGCUGGCGGCGUGCCUAAUACAUGCAAGUCGAGCGAACGGACGAGAAGCUUGCUUCUCUGAUGUUAGCGGCGGACGGGUGAGUAACACGUGGAUAACCUACCUAUAAGACUGGUAUAACUUCGGGAAACCGGAGCUAAUACCGGAUAAUAUUUUGAACCGCAUGGUUCAAAAGUGAAAGACGGUCUUGCUGUCACUUAUAGAUGGAUCCGCGCUGCAUUAGCUAGUUGGUAAGGUAACGGCUUACCAAGGCAACGAUGCAUAGCCGACCUGAGAGGGUGAUCGGCCACACUGGAACUGAGACACGGUCCGGACUCCUACGGGAGGCAGCAGUAGGGAAUCUUCCGCAAUGGGCGAAAGCCUGACGGAGCAACGCCGCGUGAGUGAUGAAGGUCUUCGGAUCGUAAAACUCUGUUAUUAGGGAAGAACAUAUGUGUAAGUAACUGUGCACAUCUUGACGGUACCUAAUCAGAAAGCCACGGCUAACUACGUG